rnacentral:rRNA from 2 species
UUCCCUUAGUAGCGGCGAGCGAACAGGGAAGAGCCCAGCACCGAAUCUUGCGGGUGUAUGCUCGCUGAGAAAUGUGGUGUUUGGGAGGGUCCGUACAUUCCGUGGUUUGGCGGCGAGUCCAAGUCCAUCUUGAAUGGGGCCACGGCCCGUAGAGGGUGCCAGGCCCGUAGGACCGUUGCUGAUCACGGUAGGACCUCUCCUUAGAGUCGGGUUGC